rnacentral:rRNA from 1 species
UACGUAGGGUGCAAGCGUUAAUCGGAAUUACUGGGCGUAAAGAGCUCGUAGGCGGUUUGUCGCGUCUGCCGUGAAAGUCCGGGGCUUAACUCCGGAUCUGCGGUGGGUACGGGCAGACUAGAGUGCAGUAGGGGAGACUGGAAUUCCUGGUGUAGCGGUGAAAUGCGCAGAUAUCAGGAGGAACACCGAUGGCGAAGGCAGGUCUCUGGGCUGUAACUGACGCUGAGGAGCGAAAGCAUGGGGAGCGAACAGG